rnacentral:rRNA from 1 species
UACGAAGGGGGCUAGCGUUGCUCGGAAUUACUGGGCGUAAAGGGAGCGUAGGCGGACAUUUUAAGUCAGGGGUGAAAUCCCAGAGCUCAACUCUGGAACUGCCUUUGAUACUGGGUGUCUUGAGUGUGAUAGAGGUAUGUGGAACUCCGAGUGUAGAGGUGAAAUUCGUAGAUAUUCGGAGGAACACCAGUGGCGAAGGCGGCCCACUGGCUCGACACUGACGGCUGAGGCGGCGGAAAAGCGGACGGGG